AUUCAAUUGACGAGUCCUAAAUAAGACGAAACGUGCUUCUUAAAC
rfam:Schistosoma mattheei strain Denwood, Zambia genome assembly, scaffold: SMTD_contig0000286